AGGGGGAGGUGGGGCGGGCCCCACUGGAUGUGCCAGGGACCAGGACCAGGCCACGCUGGGCCAGAGCUGUCAUGGUUCAGGCCUUGCACACAGAACCACAGAACAUGCUCAACAAGCCCCCUAAGCUUAGGGGCACUGACCUACCCUGGGGACCAGUAAUCUUCAAGAUGAGAAAGCGGAGGCACAGCGGUGCCCUGAUACGGCCAAGAGAAGCACUGUGGGUAAGCAGGAGAGCUAGGAACAGACCCCAGCUGCCCUCGCUGGCGAAUGCACAGAACCAUUACAUCAUCCUACCCCGAGACCCAACCAAGAGGUACCCACACCCCGUGGCAGCCGGGGCUGAAGGCCUGGAGAUAGGAGAGGAGGCCCCACAUACUCCAGCACCCAAGGCAAUGAGAGAAACUGAGGCCCAGGAAGGUGCUAGGUCCGUGAAGAGGAAGGUGGGAAGGGCUGGGCAGUGAGCUUCUUCAGAGCUGAGGUUCUUCUCUGCCACCCCCUCCUGUCUUGCAGGUCUCAAACCGCGUCAGGCCCCUCGAGAGCUCCUAUGGAUCAACAGUGUCUGGGGAGAGCCAGAGCCCCGGGACAGAUGCAGGGCUGCCUAAGACCCUCAGAUGGCCCACCUGAUGCAGAGUCAACCAUUCAAUCUAGUCCAAGCCUGAACUCUUGGGUUCUGGGUCUGUGGGGUGUCCAGAAUCCUGGAGUGGGAUGACUGAGGCUUAGGGGUGCCCCUGCCUGGGCUGCUCAGCCAGCAGGUGUGAACAAGGGUUCCUGCCUCCCAAGUCACAGAGGGAGAGAAACUGAGGCACCGGAAGACCUGCUUCUCUCCUCCACAGGACUCCACAGGAAUCUGGGGCUUGAAACUUGGGCCUUGGUUCCCUGCCCUGUAGCCCUGAUAGGUUCACACAUGAAGGGAAGGUUCUCAAUGCACCAAGGAGCAGGAUGUGGCCUUAGGGACUAGAGGGAGCUCGGGGCAGGGGCUGGGCUCGCUGCAUUGGUAGACAGGGGCACAAAAGGGGGCCAGAGGGUCUGGCUAGAUGUUCCAGGGAGGUUCUGAGAAGCGGAGUGGGCUGGGAGGCAGUCAGCCAGAACUUCCCCUCCCCCUCCCACUGCGGUCCCAUCCCUCCAGAACCCAGCACCAGGAGGAGUGGUGGCCCUGCAGGAGGGGCAGGGGUCGUCCAGGAAAAGACAGGGAGUUGGUUAGAUGGAGGAGCAGACCUCCAAAACCAAUGUAGGGGUGGGGGCAGAAGAAGAUAUUAUGGGGUGUAUGUCAAUUCCACCCCAGAGGGCUCCUUUCGGUCAAGUGGGGGUGAGGUCACUCUUUGAGGGGGCGAGGUCAGAGAGGCACAGCUCCAGGGUUGGGGGGACAUAGUGCUGAGGAGCCUCAGAGGGCUGGUGGGAUGCAGUUCACAGCACUAGAAGGGUCUCAGAGAGCAGAGGUGACCGGUGGCAGGGAUGUCAGCUUCAAGAAGGUUCCAGCCCCAGGAGAGCAUGCUAGGGAGGGGGGUCCCAGCCCCAAACAGGAGAGCAGUCACUAGGCAGCAUUGUGGAAAGCAGGUGGCAGUCUCCAAGGGGAUCCAGGCUCGAAAGUGGUCCUACCCUCAUGGAAGCACAGUGGGGAGGUCCCAGCUCCUAGAAGUCAUGGGGGAUGGCGCCAACCAGAAGGGCACACAGGGGGUCUUGGUCUCUAGGCGGGGGUCACAGAUUCUGGGAAGCAGGCUGGGGUCCAGCCUCAAGAGGUACGGAAGGUCCUAGAAGGCACACCGGGGGUCUGGGCCUUGAAUGGGGUUGUAUCCCGCUUGGGGUUCUGGGGAAGCAAAGUAGAGGGUCCCCAGACUCGGGAAGUUUGCUGGGGGCGAGAGUGUCACAAUUUAGGGAAAGUUCCGGGUCCUGGAAGGCUCAAAGGAGUCCGGACCUGGAAGGGGACACAGUCCCAAGGAAGCUGCGAGUUGAGGAGCGGGGAGGGGGAGCCCAACUUCAGCGGCGGUGGGUGGUAACCGCUGGGGGACUCCCAGCCCCGGGAGCCUGUCUUGGCGGGCUGGUGCCAGCCUGAAGGAGGGUCCCAGCCAGAGGAGGCGGAAACACAGCGAGGAGCCCCAGUUCCCGGGGAGAUCAGCCGGGGGUUCCCAGCGCCAGAGGGUCGCCGCCGCCAGCCCGCGGUCUCUCACCUUCGAAGAAGCGCUGCAGCGCCUCCGUCUCGUCCACCACCUCCAUGUCCCGCCUGCCCGGCGCACACUCCAGCCGCGGCCCCGCUACAGCCCGGCCCGGGGGCGCGGCAUCGCCGGCGCGGCCCGCGCGACAGUCCCGGCUGGGCUCCGGCUACGGUCCCGCCCGGUCCGCCGCCGCGCUUGCCCCCCGCGCGUCCCUGGCCCGGCCCCUGCCCGCCCCACGCGCCCCGCCCGCCGCGCCCAGCGCCCCCUGCCGGCCCGCGCCGCGCCCAGCCCGGCCGCGGGCACCACGCUCCCGACUCCUGCAGGCGGCGCUCAGCGCUGGGCAGUCCUAGGCUUGCGGGGCGCGGGGCCGUCCCGGGUCGGGGGACGCGAGACCGUCCCAGGCUUGAGGGGCGCGGGGCCUUCCCGGGUCGGGGUGGGGGCGAAGGGCCGCUUGGCCUCUGUGGGGUCGGGACUGGAAGGGUGUGCCCUCGCCGUCCUCGCCUUCGUCUUGCACGGGACAAGAUGUCACGAUUCCGAAUCCAAACCUCAGAGACAGCCCCCAUCCCUCUCGUUAGCCACCCACACACCCCGCUCAGCAACAAUAACAACCUGCAUUUAGGGAACGUGUGUUAUGUGCCAGGCCACACAGGCAUUAUCUCAUGUACUCCUCACAGGCACCUUAUCAAGGAGAUGCUGUUGUUACCUGCAUUUUACAGAUGGGGAAACUGAGGCUCAAUGCAUUAAGGACUGCCAGGAAGCCCUGUCCUGUGGCUGUGAUGAUGGAAAUGUUCCCUGUGUUGUUCAGUAUGGUAGUCACUGGCCACAAGUGAGCACUGGAAAUGUGCCUAUUGAGACUGAGGAACUGAUUUUUUCAUUUUGUUUAAUUGUAAUUAAACAGUUACGUGUGG
rnacentral:lncRNA from 1 species